rnacentral:lncRNA from 1 species
GUUUCCUCUCCCCCCGCCCCACCCCCGGCACAUUCCCGCGUCCCUGAAGCUCAUGAGUCAGGUUUUCCGCCUCCCGCGAUUUCACAGCUCCCCGCCAGCCAAGCUGUUUUGCAGACCCAAGUUGGUAAUGACAGAUUCUUCUCUCCUGGCCCUCCACUGGCGAGACCGCGGAAAGUAUUUGAAGCACGCAGCCGGGAAUGUACAAGCUUCCAUUCACCGGGCUUGGCAGGAGCCAGCCGUUUCUCAGCCAGCGCUUUUGACUAAGCCUUCUGCGGCUCCGGUUUCCCAGGAGCUCGGCGGCUCAGUUUUUCGGCAGGGUUUAUACCUUCUUUUUUCCUUCAGAAAAUUAACCCCAAAGCAGAUUCUGAAUCAUCCCGCCCCGGGAACCUGGCGCGCUCUCUGCUGGGGGCGUGGCUCUGGAGGCUCCCCAGGAGAGCCGGCCUCUGCCUGGAGGGAGUCUGCUGCCCGUCCGGACUCCUUGGGCCCAGGUGGCCUGAAUCCAAGGAACCUCUGGGGAAAGUGAUACCUGGAGCUCUUUCAGAUCUUCUGCCAGAGAAAGAUCUGGUUAACCUGUCCCAGGCGUCUGCAACUUUGACUGAAACGCAUCCUCCCGUGGAGAUGAAGGAAGGGAGAGGGAUAGAAAGACCAGGGACUCUGGGCCUCUGUACACCUGGAUGUCAGUUGCACAUCUGCUCCCACUUGGUUUCAUCAUCUCUACAAUUAUUGCCAUGAAAACCCACCUCCGGGAUAUCGUGAGGUUUAAGUGGCAGCACAGGGAAACACCCAGUACAAUUCCUACUCACAGUAGGUGCACAAUCAUUUCCUCUCUUCCUUAUGUCUUGGUCACUGAUUCUACCAUCUCCUCACAAAGCUGUUUGACGAAUGAAUGAAUGAAGGACUUUAUAUACCUCGACACUUUCUGCUCUGGAUGAUCCCCUCUUCUCUCAACAGUUCAAAGCCAUGGAAUAAAUAUUUGCUGAGCGUCAGUUCUGUGCACAGAGCAGAGCUAGGUGUCAUGGAGAUGCCCUUGAUGCUAAAGCCACAGUCCCUGUGGUAGAGGAUUUUCUGGUUGAGGGAGUGAGGGAGCAGGCACCAGGGGGAAACAACAGGGUGGAUAAAAUGUUGUCCACUGGAGGAAUACUCACAAUGCUUUUGCUCACUCGCUUACACGUGUUUGCUCAUUCCUGCAGCAAGCGUUUACUGCAGGAGGAGGGCCUGACUGCCCCUCACCCCCGAUGGUAGUUCAGGGGGCUUCUACAGCAAGCCCUUUCCGUUUUACAUCCCUCUGUUCUAUUUGCUGUGAAGGGAUGCAUGAAGUGCUUUGGAAAUGAAAGGUCAUGCUGUUCCCGCUGCCUAGAACACCCUUCCCUCCUCACACACCUGGAAAACGCAGGACCCAGCCCAGAGAAGGACUCAGAGGCAGGAACAGAGGGGCUCCGCAGAAGCUGCACACCUAUGGGUGGGGGCAGGGCCAGCGUCCCCGAGAGGGGCAGCAAGGAGAGGGGGUCCUGC